AUUGAACGCUGGCGGCAUGCUUUACACAUGCAAGUCGAACGGCAGCGCGGGCUUCGGCCUGGCGGCGAGUGGCGAACGGGUGAGUAAUACAUCGGAACGUGCCCAGUAGUGGGGGAUAGCUCGGCGAAAGCCGGAUUAAUACCGCAUACGACCUGAGGGUGAAAGCGGGGGACCUUCGGACCUCGCGCUAUGGGACCGGCCGAUGGCAGAUUAGCUAGUUGGUGGGGUAAAGGCCUACCAAGGCGACGAUCUGUAGCUGGUCUGAGAGGACGACCAGCCACACUGGGACUGAGACACGGCCCAGACUCCUACGGGAGGCAGCAGUGGGGAAUUUUGGACAAUGGGCGAAAGCCUGAUCCAGCAAUGCCGCGUGUGUGAUGAAGGCCUUCGGGUUGUAAAGCACUUUUGGCGGGAACGAAAAGGACUGUGCCAAUACCACGGUUCGAUGACGGUACCCGCAGAAUAAGCACCGGCUAACUACGUG
rnacentral:rRNA from 1 species